GACGAACGCUGGCGGCGUGCCUAACACAUGCAAGUCGAGCGGGGUUGAAGCGAGAGGUAACUCGAACUUCUACCUAGCGGCGGACGGGUGAGUAACGCGUGGGCAACCUGCCUCAAGGUCUGGGAUAACAGCCCGAAAGGGCUGCUAAUACCGGGUAUGCUUGUGGCCUCGCAUGGGGCUACGAGCAAAGGGGAAACCCGCCUUGAGAUGGGCCCGCGUCCCAUCAGCUAGUUGGUGAGGUAACAGCUCACCAAGGCGACGACGGGUAGCCGGCCUGAGAGGGUGACCGGCCACACUGGGACUGAGACACGGCCCAGACUCCUACGGGGGCAGCAGUGGGGGAUCUUGCACAAUGGGCGAAAGCCUGAUGCAGCGACGCCGCGUGAGCGAAGAAGGCCUUCGGGUUGUAAAGCUCUGUCUGGAGGGACGAAGGAAGUGACGGUACCUCCGGAGGAAGCCACGGCUAACUACGUGCCAGCAGCCGCGGUAAAAUCAACGUGUA
rnacentral:rRNA from 1 species